ensembl:lncRNA LINC01821 long intergenic non-protein coding RNA 1821
GUUAUCAAGAGAAAAACAGUCUUAGAUGCAACAUAAAAAUUUCAGAGACAGAAGAAAUCUUCCUUUGAGGGCAGACUCCAAGUUCUUCAGUUUUGGAACUCAGACUGGCUCUCCUUGCUCCUCAGCCCACAGAUGGCCUAUUGUGGGACCUUGUGAUCGUUGAUACACUUAUGUGAGAUUUUGAAAAGUGAAAAAUCAAAGGUGGAAUUGACCAGUAGAUGUAAAAGUACAACAAAUAAACAAAAAUGGCAAUGUUGAAAGUGAAACUGAAAUUCAACAGAAAUAAAAGAAAUAGCAGACUGGGGGGAUAUUGACUUUGACACCAUGAUGCCAGAGGAACUUAGUGAUGGCAAACUUAUCAAUAUAAAAUGAGGAUAUUGGUUGUCAACUAGGUUGUGUGGUGGUCCUUGAUCUUGUCCAUCAAGUCCUUUUUCCCAAAGGAUAACUGAAGAAGAUCACAUACAUUCCAACUUAUUGAGUCUGAUAGGUAUUCAUCUGAUGAGCUCCUCUUCAACUGAGGAUUGAAAUGCUGUUUUUCUUCCCUGGUACAAUGUUAAAGCUUUAAACUCUUGUCAAUGAUGUGAUGUUUCAUCUGCAAUGAUCUACACUAGAAAAAUAAAAAUGUAGUUACUGACAAAAAAGCAGGAACUACUGCUCUAAGGAAAAAAGGACAGCUACAUGAGGACCACACAACUCCUGGAAGAGGUUUCCCUGGCAACACAACUUUUCCAUUCAUCUGGUUGCAGUGUUUUCAUCCAGUAGCCUGUCACCUCACUCAAAAGCAGGGCAAUGGAGAGAAAGAAACUUACCAAGUUUUUUCUUUUAACUAGAGAGUAGCCUACUUAUUGGGCCCUGCAAUUAAUUUCAGUACUCCAGGCAGAUUUAUAAAGGAAGCUGCUGGAAGGAAUUCAUUCCCUUUUUGCUGUUCUGCCUUCCACCUUCCACUGUGUGAGGACACUGCAAGAAAGCCCUCAUCAGACACCAACUGCCAGCACCUAGAUCUUGGAAUUCUCAGCCUCCAGAACUGUGAGAAACACGUUUCUGUUUUUCUAUAAAAUAAUAAUAAUAAAAAACUUCCAUGCAGGAAAAAAAAUCAAGUUCAAAGGUCCUGUGGUGAGGGCAUACCAGCUUUGUUUGAGAAGCAGUAAUCAUGCCUGUGUGACUGUAAUGAAAGAAUAAAAGAGAAAUGAGCACAGAAGAAUAUAAUGUAGUCCUUUUCAUUUUAAGCAAGAAAUUUGGCUUCAAUUCUAAAUGUGAUAAGAAAAAAACAGAAGGUUCCAAACUGAGAAGUGACAUAAUAUGAAAUGUUUUAACAGAAUCACCUUGUUACCAUAUUGCAAAUAAAAUGAAA